CUUAUGCGUUGUUGGGUAGGGGAGCGUUCUGUAAGCCUGUGAAGGUGUACUGUGAGGUAUGCUGGAGGUAUCAGAAGUGCGAAUGCUGACAUAAGUAACGAUAAAGCGGGUGAAAAGCCCGCUCGCCGGAAGACCAAGGGUUCCUGUCCAACGUUAAUCGGGGCAGGGUGAGUCGACCCCUAAGGCGAGGCCGAAAGGCGUAGUCGAUGGGAAACAGGUUAAUAUUCCUGUACUUGGUGUUACUGCGAAGGGGGGACGGAGAAGGCUAUGUUAGCCGGGCGACGGUUGUCCCGGUUUAAGCAUGUAGGCGGAGGUUCCAGGUAAAUCCGGUACCUUAUUAACGCUGAGGUGUGAUGACGAGGCACUACGGUGCUGAAGUAACAAAUGCCCUGCUUCCAGGAAAAGCCUCUAAGCAUCAGGUAACAUCAAAUCGUACCCCAAACCGACACAGGUGGUCAGGUAGAGAAUACCAAGGCGCUUGAGAGAACUCGGGUGAAGGAACUAGGCAAAAUGGUGCCGUAACUUCGGGAGAAGGCACGCUGAUAUGUAGGUGAAGUCCCUCGCGGAUGGAGCUGAAAUCAGUCGAAGAUACCAGCUGGCUGCAACUGUUUAUUAAAAACACAGCACUGUGCAAACACGAAAGUGGACGUAUACGGUGUGACGCCUGCCCGGUGCCGGAAGGUUAAUUGAUGGGGUUAGCGGUAACGCGAAGCUCUUGAUCGAAGCCCCGGUAAACGGCGGCCGUAACUAUAACGGUCCUAAGGUAGCGAAAUUCCUUGUCGGGUAAGUUCCGACCUGCACGAAUGGCGUAAUGAUGGCCAGGCUGUCUCCACCCGAGACUCAGUGAAAUUGAACUCGCUGUGAAGAUGCAGUGUACCCGCGGCAAGACGGAAAGACCCCGUGAACCUUUACUAUAGCUUGACACUGAACAUUGAGCCUUGAUGUGUAGGAUAGGUGGGAGGCUUUGAAGUGUGGACGCCAGUCUGCAUGGAGCCGACCUUGAAAUACCACCCUUUAAUGUUUGAUGUUCUAACGUUGGCCCCUGAUCGGGGUUGCGGACAGUGUCUGGUGGGUAGUUUGACUGGGGCGGUCUCCUCCUAAAGAGUAACGGAGGAGCACGAAGGUUGGCUAAUCCUGGUCGGACAUCAGGAGGUUAGUGCAAUGGCAUAAGCCAGCUUGACUGCGAGCGUGACGGCGCGAGCAGGUGCGAAAGCAGGUCAUAGUGAUCCGGUGGUUCUGAAUGGAAGGGCCAUCGCUCAACGGAUAAAAGGUACUCCGGGGAUAACAGGCUGAUACCGCCCAAGAGUUCAUAUCGACGGCGGUGUUUGGCACCUCGAUGUCGGCUCAUCACAUCCUGGGGCUGAAGUAGGUCCCAAGGGUAUGGCUGUUCGCCAUUUAAAGUGGUACGCGAGCUGGGUUUAGAACGUCGUGAGACAGUUCGGUCCCUAUCUGCCGUGGGCGCUGGAGAACUGAGGGGGGCUGCUCCUAGUACGAGAGGACCGGAGUGGACGCAUCACUGGUGUUCGGGUUGUCAUGCCAAUGGCACUGCCCGGUAGCUAAAUGCGGAAGAGAUAAGUGCUGAAAGCAUCUAAGCACGAAACUUGC
rnacentral:rRNA from 1 species